CAGUGUGGCUCUCUUUGACUCCAAGAACAACCCCAUCGCUAUUCUCAAAGAUAUCGAGAUCUACAAGCACCCUAAAGAAGAAAGGAUUGCUAGAACGUGGGGCACCACUGCCCCGGGGCUCCCUUAUGUUGAUCAAGCUAUAACCAAUGCUGGUAACUGGCUGAUAGGAGGCGACUUAGAGGUUAUAGAGCCAAUCAAGUACAAUGAUGGCCUUGACCGUUUUCGACAGUCACCUGCAGAGCUACGGGAGG
rnacentral:misc_RNA from 1 species